rnacentral:rRNA from 1 species
AGGAUAAACGCUGGCGGCGUGCCUAACACAUGCAAGUCGAGCGCCCCGCAAGGGGAGCGGCAGACGGGAGAGUAACACGUGGGAACGUACCCUUUGGUUCGGAACAACACAGGGAAACUUGUGCUAAUACCGGAUAAGCCCUUACGGGGAAAGAUUUAUUGCCAAAGGAUCGGCCCGCGUCUGAUUAGCUUGUUGGUGAGGUAACGGCUCACCAAGGCUACGAUCAGUAGCUGGUCUGAGAGGAUGAUCAGCCUCACUGGGACUGAGACACGGCCCAGACUCCUACGGGAGGCAGCAGUGGGGAAUAUUGGACAAUGGGCGCAAGCCUGAUCCAGCCAUGCCGCGUGGAUGAUGAAGGCCCUAGGGUUGUAAAGUCCUUUCGACGGGGAAGAUAAUGACGGUACCCGUAGAAGAAGCCCCGGCUAACUUCGUGCUAGCAGCCGC